GUAUGUAUAUAUAUUUAUAUAUUUUAUUAUUGUUAAAUAGAAUCAUUAAUUCAAUUUAUGGACCUGUAAUAACUUUCAGAAUAAACGACAGAAGCAUCUUCAGAGCGAAGCACAUUUAAAGAAACCCGCCACUAAGCUCGAAUUUAAAAGGCGGCGCUUAUCGAGCUCUCGAUCGAGUCGCAACAGCGUACAUAUACCGGAAGCGCAGGCACCUCGUCCUCUUCCGGCGCGGCGUUGUCACAGACGUGUAGAAAGAGAGCAAGGAACCUACGCUCUAUGUAUAUUCAAUUAAUGUAGGUAUGCAAACAAAACUCUGCAUUGAUUGCAA